AGUUACCGUCACCCCGGCGGAGGCCGGGGUCUCGGGAGAGGGGAGAUGAGGUCGAGGCAGGAGCCUCCCGAGACCCCGGCCUCCGCCGGGGUGACGGGUGGG
rnacentral:pre_miRNA from 1 species